UUAGGAAUCUUCCACAAUGGGCGGAAGCCUGAUGGAGCGACACUGCGUGAAGGAUGAAGGCCUUCGGGUCGUAAACUUCUAAAAGAGGGACGAAUGCUGACGGUACCUCUUGAUUAGCACCGGCUAACUCCGUGCCAGCAGCCGCGGUAAUACGGAGGGUGCGAGCGUUAUCCGGAAUCACUGGGCGUAAAGGGCGCGUAGGCGGUUUGUUAAGUCCGUUGUUAAAGACCGGGGCUCAACCCCGGAUCGGCAGUGGGUACUGGCAGGCUUGACGGCUGGAGAGGCGAGUGGAAUUACCAGUGUAGCGGUGGAAUGCGUAGAUACUGGUAGGAACACCCAUGGCGAAGGCAGCUCGCUGGACAGCUCGUGACGCUGAGGCGCGAAAGUGUGGGGAGCGAACCGG
rnacentral:rRNA from 1 species